UUUCAUGACUGAUCCUCCAAGAAGAACCUGUAUUGAGUGUCUCUGUGAGAUGACUGGACUGCUCUAUCCAGCAUCGUUGAGUUAAGAGCAGUCAAGUU